rnacentral:rRNA from 1 species
UCGGAUUGGAGUCUGCAACCCGACUCCAUGAAGCUGGAUUCGCUAGUAAUCGCGCAUCAGCCACGGCGCGGUGAAUACGUUCCCGGGCCUUGUACACACCGCCCGUCAAGCCAUGGAAGCCGGGAGUGCCUGAAGUGCGUGACCGCAAGGAGCGUCCUAAGGCAAUACCGGUGACUGGGGCUAAGUCGUAACAAGGUAGC